UUGAAAGGGAAACGAUUGAAGUCAGUCAUGCUGGUGGGAAUCAACUUAGGGGAAACUCUGGGUGCACUUCUUCGCUUGGCAGGUCAACGUCGAUUUUGAAUGUCAUAAAAUAAUUGGGGAAAGGUAGCUCCUUCGGGAGUGUUAUAGCCCUUGAUAGAUGUGAUGUUUGAGGUCGAGGAUUGCAACGGAUACCCUUUGGGGCUAGCUGCCUGAUCUCUAAUUGGUGUUGGGUUACGGAUAGCAUGCUGACCGUUUUCUAAUUACUGGUUAAAAGGUUAGAGUGUGCAUAAAUUCGUUAAGGAUGUUGACGUA
rnacentral:rRNA from 1 species